rnacentral:rRNA from 1 species
UACGGAGGGUGCAAGCGUUAUCCGGAUUUACUGGGUUUAAAGGGUGCGUAGGCGGGCCCUUAAGUCAGUGGUGAAAGCUCCGAGCUUAACUCGGAAACUGCCAUUGAUACUAUAGGUCUUGAAUUCGGUCGAGGUUGGCGGAAUGUGUCGUGUAGCGGUGAAAUGCUUAGAUAUGACACAGAACACCGAUGGCGAAGGCAGCCUCCUGGGCCAGCACUGACGCUCAUGCACGAAAGCGUGGGGAGCAAACAGG